rnacentral:rRNA from 1 species
UACGUAGGGGGCAAGCGUUGUCCGGAAUCAUUGGGCGUAAAGAGCGUGUAGGCGGUUCAGUAAGUCUGCUGUGAAAGUCCAAGGCUCAACCUUGGGAUGCCGGUGGAUACUGCUGAGCUAGAGUACGGAAGAGGCGAGUGGAAUUCCCGGUGUAGCGGUGAAAUGCGCAGAUAUCGGGAGGAACACCUAUUGCGAAGGCAGCUCGCUGGGACGGUACUGACGCUGAGACGCGAAAGCGUGGGGAGCAAACAGG